AGUCUUACAGUGAUUAAAGUGAUGAAAAUUCCAACUAUGCAUGCCCUGCUCAGAGUGUCCAAGAAGAGCCUACCAACGGGGGCUACUUAAGCUCUCAAAGGCCAAACACACAAAUGGCAUUUUGAGUACAAGAGGCCUGUCUGAACUCUGAAAAGGCGGGGCAGCGGGCCUGCAGCUCCUGGAAUUCAGGGAGACCCGGAAAUCUCACCCUGCCCUCUUCUUGCGUUGUGUUUGUCACAGCCUUGCCCCUCUUGCUCAUCUUGAAAAUGGAAAAGAUGCUCGCAGGCUGCUUUCUGCUGAUCCUCGGACAGAUCCUCCUCCUCCCUGCCGAGGCCAGGGAGCGGUCACGUGGGAGGUCCAUCUCUAGAGGCAGACACGCUCGGACCCACCCGCAGACGGCCCUUCUGGAGAGCUCCUGUGAGAACAAGCGGGCAGACCUGGUUUUCAUCAUUGAUAGCUCCCGCAGUGUCAACACCCAUGACUAUGCAAAGGUCAAGGAGUUCAUCGUGGACAUCUUGCAAUUCUUGGACAUUGGUCCUGAUGUCACCCGAGUGGGCCUGCU
rnacentral:sRNA from 1 species